rnacentral:rRNA from 1 species
CUACGGGCCGCAGCAGGCGAGAAAACUUUGCAAUGUGCGAAAGCACGACAAGGUUAAUCCGAGUGGUUUCUGCUAAAGGAACCUUUUGUCGGUCCUAGAAACACCGAUGAAUAAGGGGUGGGCAAGUUCUGGUGUCAGCCGCCGCGGUAAAACCAGCACCUCAAGUGGUCAGGAUGAUUAUUGGGCCUAAAGCAUCCGUAGCCGGCUCUGUAAGUUUUCGGUUAAAUCUGUACGCUUAACGUACAGGCUGCCGGGAAUACUGCAUAGCUAGGGAGUGGGAGAGGUAGACGGUACUCGGUAGGAAGGGGUAAAAUCCUUUGAUCUAUUGAUGACCACCUGUGGCGAAGGCGAUCUACCAGAACACGUCCGACGGUGAGGGAUGAAAGCUGGGGGAGCAAACCGGAUUAGAUACCCGGGUAGUC